rnacentral:rRNA from 1 species
CUACGGGGCUCUCCAGUGAGGAAUAUUGCACAAUGGGGGGAACCCUGAUGCAGCAACGCCGCGUGGAGGAUGACGCAUUUCGGUGUGUAAACUCCUUUUAUAUGUCAAGAAAAUGACGGUAGCAUAUGAAUAAGCACCGGCUAACUCCGUGCCAGCAGCCGCGGUAAUACGGAGGGUGCAAGCGUUACUCAGAAUCACUGGGCGUAAAGGACGCGUAGGCGGGUUGGAAAGUCAGGUGUGAAAUCCUACAGCUUAACUGUAGAACUGCACUUGAAACUUCUAAUCUAGAGUAUGGGAGGGGGAGAUGGAAUUAGUGGUGUAGGGGUAAAAUCCGUAGAUAUCACUAGGAAUACCUAAAGCGAAGGCGAUCUCCUGGAACAUUACUGACGCUAAGGCGUGAAAGCGUGGGGAGCAAACAGGAUUAGAUACCCGGGUAGUC